CUAAGCCACAUACAGAAACACAUCAACCAUGUUGUUGUGUCUCUCUGUGUACUCUAUGAUAUGGUGAUGGUGAUUCCCGACCAAGACGACAAAACUGUUCAACAGCGACGACAUCCCCCGAAAAAGUUCUACCACUGCUACUGCUUCUGCCACCAAAUGGAACAUCGUCGUCGUCGUAGUCGUCGACGAGACCAAGGCGACCGAUUCAUGUCGAAUUUUGGAGUGGAGCCAGUUGUUUGCGAAUUGUUUGCCAGUGCAGUGUUGUGCCGCUUCUGGCACAGGCAGGCAACGUGCGGUGCCACCAAUCGUGCCUUCGGGCACGAUUGAGACGCAUCCAAGAAAAAUUACGCCCGACCAAAAAAAAAAAUAUACUCAAAAAAAAAAGAACAUCAAAAAUUCUUAAACGGAUCGGGCCAGCCAACAAACCAUCCGACAGAAAUUCUCGGGCAAAUAGUGUCGUCGUUCAAAAAAAAAAAAAAUAAAUAUAUAAAAUAUUUUUUGGACGGUGUCUCGUAACUUGGCCACUGAUUCAGAAACUCAUCAUCAUCACCAUCAGCAGCAGUAGUACCAGCUACCAGCAGAAACGAAACGAUAUAUACUUCUGAUGAUGGCCAAGUCCAAGAAUGUCUCCUUCCAUCACUACUACCACCAGCCAAUACCUUCGGCCAACAAACUGAAGAACAAGAAGGAGGCUUCUUUCGUUGAUGCUCUCAUUGGUCCACCACAUGAUGACAACGAUAAUGAUUCUUCAAGAUGCUGCUGGCCAAAUCCAAGAUGUUGAUGGCCAACAUUUCACCUCAUUCAGAGCCAAUUCAAGUUGUGUGUGUUUUUUUUUUUAAUCUUCACUUCUUGGCUUCAUAGAUCCGCUUCCGGCUAAAACAACAGGUUGAUGGCGAAGGAAUUUGGAAUUUCAAUUGUUUUACUAUUGGCAUUUAAAUACAAAAAAAAAACGUCCGUCUCGAUCAUAAACAAACCUAGCUCUUACCAUCCGCAGCUAAAGUGUCAACGAUAUACCAAAGGGAAUCCCAAAUUCUAUAUCAUCGUCAUCAUCUGUCCACAGUGACACUUUUUAGCAUCGUCAUUGUUAUCCUAUCAAAGAAUAUACCAGAGCGUGGAACGAAAAUACGUUUGUUGCGUUCGUCGUCGUCAAUUGUUGGCCAACUGGCUAAUACCCAAAAAAAAAGAAGACCAUGUCGAAUUAUCAACAAAAAAAAAUCUUGUUUUUUUCCUGGGACGACAAUGUCACCAUCGCAUCACCAAGAAGGAACCCAGGCCAAUUAUUAUUAUUAUUAUUGAAGUGGACGACACGUUUGUCGGUGUAUCCAAGAAAUGCGUCCAUUGUUUCAUCACAGUGGAUGAAGAACAACACUCUCUUAACCGUCAACAUGUGUCCGCAUAUCUUCUUUAUUCAAAAAGAAACGUAGUUCGAAAUCGAAUAGUCCUGUGGGCAAGGACUAAAAACAACAUCAUCAUUCAACAUCUUUGCACCUUGCCUUCAUUAUACAAAUGGGUUUAGUGUAUUUUAUUAUUUGGUUUCGUGUGUGCGCGAAUAACAACACUCUUUGAAUAAAAAUAGAACAAGAAAAAAAAAAACAACAGUAAAUAGUAGUGAAUAAUCGUUAUAUUUAAGGAAUAUUAAAUAAAAUUAUAAAAAUAAAGUUAAUAAUAAUAAUUAAAAAAAAACAAUAAGUUAAGUGUAAAAGUUGCUGCUAGAAUUAAAAACAAAACAUAAAUAUUUUAUUCGUAAAAGGAUUAAAUAAAAAAAAAAAAAAAAAAACAUUUAUAUAAACAAAAAAACUUUGAGUUAUAAUGCUGAUGAAUCGAAGCAAAAGUAGUGGAAAAGUUUUUGAAACUUCAUCGAAUCUGAAAUCUCGUGAAUUAUUGCAUCCGAAUGACUCCAACAAUAAAACAAGGCAUUCAUUUGCCAAUGAAUUUAUCCAAAUCUCCUGCCAACUUCAUUGGCUGUUGUCUGGGCCUGACCAACCCUCCAGCAGCAAACCGAUGCGCACCGAAAUGCAUUUUAACCAUCCCAAAAAUACCACUACCGUGCUGAGGACUCACACGUACUUGUGACGAUGACUCGAAGCGCAAGAGUCCACAUACGCCUGAAUCUUCAGCACACAGUGUUAACAUUGGACAGAGGUGAAUUUUGUGUUGUUGUUGUGUGUCCUCAUUUGGAUUUGGCAGGAUAUUUCGAUAAAAGGAUAGAGCGAGAAACAUAGUGUAUAAGUUUGAAGGAUGAGAGUAAGGAGUUUCUUUUUGGAAUGGAGGGACAUAUAAAAUGCAGUUCACCUAUUGGAUGCAAGGACCAUAUAGGGUUUGUUGUCUAACCGAACCAACCAACCCUUAGCUACUUGAAUUUAAUUAAACAACAAGCAAAUUAUAGUGUCCUUUUAUGUACAAAAAGCAAAAGGAGUCAUUUUAUGUUGCAUACUUUUACGAGAGAAUUUAUACAAUUUUUUUAUUUUAUUAUUUGGCAACAAUAUUUUUAAAGGCUCCAAGGCAAAGAUGAUAGUUUUAGUUUAGCAAACUUAGACAAAAUCAUCCUGCCAAGGAUUCCUUUAGUUUGUUGCAUUUUUAUUAUUUUUAUUUUUUAGUUAAAGUAUUCCUCUUAAUUAUGUAAAUAUUGCAAAUAAAACAACAAUUUAAAACAAAACAAAAAAAAAAAAAUUAUACCAAAUAUAAAUACACAAAUAAAAUCAAGUGUUUUUGGUUCCAAGAAAGUCCACAACAAAAAUGUUAAAUUACAAAACAGAAAAUUAUAUAAAAUAAAAUAAAUUAACAUAAAUUUAUUUAUAAAUAAAUUAAUUUUAAUCUUAAGAUUUAUCAAAUAAAAAAAAAAAAUGAUAAUGUUACAUAAUUAUAUAUAUUAGAAAACAUACAUAAUGAUUAUACAAAAAAUUAAAUAAAAAAUAAAGUUUUUAGCUACCACAGCGGAACAGAAAA